rnacentral:tRNA from 1 species
UUAAUUGAAAUCAAAAUAGAGGUUUAUCACUGUUAAUGAUAAUAUUGAUUAAAAAUCCAAUUAGA